rnacentral:rRNA from 1 species
UACGUAGGGUGCAAGCGUUGUCCGGAAUUAUUGGGCGUAAAGAGCUCGUAGGCGGUCUGUCGCGUCGGCUGUGAAAACCUGGGGCUCAACCCCAGGCUUGCGGGCGAUACGGGCAGGCUAGAGUUCGGUAGGGGAGACUGGAAUUCCUGGUGUAGCGGUGAAAUGCGCAGAUAUCAGGAGGAACACCGGUGGCGAAGGCGGGUCUCUGGGCCGAUACUGACGCUGAGACGCGAAAGCGUGGGGAGCAAACAGG